rnacentral:lncRNA from 1 species
AUCCAGGCCAGUUUUGCUUCAAAGCUGCAAUUCGGCAGUGCUCUAACCAGUGUCCUGCUGUAUAGAAUGACAAAGCACCAGACUGAUAUCCCUGAUGGAAGUAAUCAAGAAUGAUGAAUGUUCUGUCUGUGUCAGUGAUAGCCAAGGCAAGAAAAAUCCAAAAGCAGUUUACAAGAGAAAAUCAUGAAAAUACAUUUAUUUGGAUCAAGUCCUGA